UCAUUCACGGACAACACUUUUU
rnacentral:miRNA from 1 species